UACAGAGGUCCCGAGCGUUGUUCGGAUUCAUUGGGCGUAAAGGGUGCGUAGGCGGUCUCCUAAGUUUGAUGUGAAAUCCCGGGGCUCAACCCUGGAAUUGCAUUGAAUACUGGAGGACUAGAGUACCGGAGAGGAAACUGGAAUUUACGGUGUAGCAGUAAAAUGCGUAGAGAUCGUAAGGAAGACCAGUGGCGAAGGCGAGUUUCUGGACGGUAACUGACGCUGAGGCACGAAGGCCAGGGGAGCAAACGGG
rnacentral:rRNA from 1 species